rnacentral:rRNA from 1 species
CCAGACUCCUACGGGAGGCAGCAGUGGGGAAUAUUGCACAAUGGGGGGAACCCUGAUGCAGCGACGCCGCGUGGGCGAAGAAGUAUUUCGGUAUGUAAAGCUCUAUCAGCAGGGAAGAAGAUGACAGUACCUGAGUAAGAAGCCCCGGCUAACUACGUGCCAGCAGCCGCGGUAAUACGUAGGGGGCAAGCGUUAUCCGGAUUUACUGGGUGUAAAGGGAGCGUAGACGGCGAUGCAAGUCUGAAGUGAAAGGCGGGGGCCCAACCCCCGGACUGCUUUGGAAACUGUAUAGCUGGAGUGCAGGAGAGGUAAGUGGAAUUCCUAGUGUAGCGGUGAAAUGCGUAGAUAUCAGGAGGAACACCGGUGGCGAAGGCGGCCUGCUGGACUGCGACUGACGUUGAGGCCCGAAAGCGUGGGGAGCAAACAGGAUUAGAUACCCCGGUAGUU